rnacentral:tRNA from 1 species
GCACCCAUCGUUCAAUGGAUAGGACAUUGGCCUGCGAAGCCGAAAAUUUAGGUUCGACUCCUAAUGGGUGCACAA